rnacentral:rRNA from 1 species
UACGGGAGGCAGCAGUGGGGAAUAUUGCACAAUGGGCGAAAGCCUGAUGCAGCUAUGCCGCGUGUAUGAAGAAGGCCUUAGGGUUGUAAAGUACUUUCAUCGGGGAGGAAAAACAAAACUAAUAAUUUUAUUUCUUGACGUUACCCGAAAAAGAAGCACCGGCUAACUCCGUGCCAGCAGCCGCGGUAAUACGGAGGGUGCUAGCGUUAAUCAGAAUUACUGGGCGUAAAGAGCACGUAGGUGGUUUUUUUAAGUUCAGAUGUGAAAUCCCUGGGCUUAACCUAGGAACUGCAUUUUGAAACUGAAAUACUAGAGUAUCGUAGGGGGAGGUAGAAUUCUAGGUGUAGCGGUGAAAUGCGUAGAUAUCUGGAGGAAUACCUGUGGCGAAAGCGGCCUCCUAAACGAAUACUGACACUGAGGUGCGAAAGCGUGGGGAGCAAACAGGGAUUAGAUACC